rnacentral:lncRNA from 1 species
UGCAUAUAAACUAUUAUUUCCAAAAAGGUACGUACAUAUAUUUCCUACAAAAAAAAUAUAUAUGUAUACAUAUUUAUGGAAAAAAAAAAAAAAAAACUACAAAUACCUUCCAAAACUCUCAAAUUAUAGGAAAAAUGAGAGGGAUUAAUUAAAUAGGGUUUUAAGACCACCCAUUUAACAACUGUAAGUUACCUUCUUAAAAGGCUGUUGAAA